rnacentral:misc_RNA from 1 species
GCAUGAUUUAGCUAAUGAUCAAUAAAAACCCAGCCCAACCUUGAGACAAGGCUGCUGCCAAAAGGAACCAGGGCCCUAGAAACCAAAAUGAUAGGCUAGUUAGUUUCUUAACAUUGAUAACCUAUGAUAAAAAAUCAAUGAUAAUUAUUCAAAAGAAAGCUCAGGAAAAAACAGAGAGAUCUUUGUAUAGAUAUAUAUACAAGAGACAAAUGCGCAAGCGACAAACAUUGUAAAUCAACUUUAUUUUUGAAAAGUGGACUGCCAUACCUAUCAAACCCAUUAGCCUCUUUCUCAAAGUCUAAAUUAUAUGCCUGUAAAGAGUUGUAAUCACUAAUCUCCUCACAUCAUUUACCAAUGCAAUGAUAACACUGCACGAAACUUAG